rnacentral:rRNA from 1 species
AUUGAACGCUGGCGGCAUGCUUUACACAUGCAAGUCGAACGGCAGCGCGGGUGCUUGCACCUGGCGGCGAGUGGCGAACGGGUGAGUAAUAUAUCGGAACGUGCCCCGGAGUGGGGGACAACCAGUCGAAAGAUUGGCUAAUACCGCAUACGAUCUAAGGAUGAAAGUGGGGGACCUUCGGGCCUCAUGCUCCUGGAGCGGCCGAUAUCUGAUUAGCUAGUUGGUGGGGUAAAGGCCUACCAAGGCGACGAUCAGUAGCUGGUCUGAGAGGACGAUCAGCCACACUGGGACUGAGACACGGCCCAGACUCCUACGGGAGGCAGCAGUGGGGAAUUUUGGACAAUGGGGGCAACCCUGAUCCAGCAAUGCCGCGUGAGUGAAGAAGGCCUUCGGGUUGUAAAGCUCUUUUGUCAGGGAAGAAAUUGCCUGGGUUAAUACCCUGGGUAGAUGACGGUACCUGAAGAAUAAGCACCGGCUAACUACGUGCCAGCAGCCGCCGUAACAC